GCUCUCCAGCUCUGCUACCCACCAGGUUGGCUGGGGGCUAGCCACCUUACCAUAUCAGCUAUCAACGUUUCUGGCUAUAGUACUUUUGUUUUUUGGGGGGUUGAGAUGGCUAGCUGCCUCCAUCAACCACCACAUAUUUCACAAUAAAACUGCAGCGCGUUGCCACAGUGCGUCGCUCAUCAGCCACAGGCAGCAUGGCAGCAUGUGGAAGAGCUUGUCGCCAAGGGAAACGCGCCACUUCCGGCAUGGGGAAACCCGACGCUGGACCAGGCCCAACGCUUGGACCCUCUACGUCUGCAGCCACAUCACAAGGGACCAACACACCCUUUCAUCCUGCCUGUGUUUCUUUGCUUUCUUUCUCCCUCUAUCCACACAGUCAUCAGUAUCACCCUUUCUUUUAGAGCUCCCAUUUGUCCUCAGGGGGUUUAACUUUACUUCUCAGUAGUAAUAGUUUUCUUUUGACUUCCAAAUGAUUAUUUAGCAUUCCAUUUUGUAACACAUAACAGUGUUGCUGAUACUUUGAUAAGAUCUAAUUACUCUGUAAGUGUUUUUUCUCCAUUUAAGGAUAUGGUCUGGGUAAUACACAAAAAUCUACUACUGUGAGAAACACAAUUUUCCAAUGUGGGUGAUGUCAGUCUUCUUCCUAAAUUCCCUACAUUAUUUUUUUGAAAGUCAACACGAUAAGACUGAUUACUGAACCAUUUUUUUUGUCUUCUAAAUGUAAAAGUUGAAAAGGAAUAUUUAUAUCCUGACAACCCUUCGACAAAAUCAAACUUAUUAUCAACCAUGACUGAAGUUUUCCUUUCUUUUCCUUGUAACUUCAUGGCAGAUAAACAUUACAAUUUCUAUCGUAAUUGGCCACAUUAAAAUGUUUGUGACCACA